rnacentral:lncRNA from 1 species
GUUGAGAGGAUUAAAUGAAAUAAUUACUUCCAGUUCUGCUUCCUACCAAGAUGCUGACAAAGUAAAAUGACUGGCUCCCUCCCACAAGAUCAACUUCAGAGGAGCUACAGAGGGGAAAAGAACCCCGCCAAGUUACCUGGUAAACACCAAAUACUGAAAAAACAGAAAAGUCUGCGGCAGUGCAGCUGUCUGAACUGUUGUCUGUGAGAGGAUGGGUAUAGCCUGGGGCCGGAGGCAAUGGAGGACAAAACAGGAAAGAAACUGGUAGAGUUUGGCUUUUGCUUCUCCCCUGCCAUUCUCUUCGGACAAACUGUGCCUGUUCCUAUAGAGCAGCAACAAAGAUCUCCAGGACAUACAGAGAGAAAAAUACAAACAGAUAUUUGAAGGUAAGGCGAACACAGAGACAUGGGUGCCUGGAGGCAGAGAAAGAUUUAUUCAAAUUGGCCAAAACAAGAAGGAGGAGGAUAGGUUCUCUCAAAUCCACCUUCACAAGAGAGGAAGAGGACAUCCACACAACACAAAAGAGGUCUGAGAGACCCACACAGCCAUCCACUGGAAGGUGAAGGUUCUGGAGCCACCCCCCCUGAGGAAGUGGAAUGAGCAAUAACAGGCUGUGAAUUUUCUCGCCUCAGGAGAGGUACAGGACAGGCAGGAGGGCAGAGUCAGCCUGCCAAACUUUUACCUGUUUUUGUGGCCCACACACCUGAGCUAAGCGAGGAUCACACGACGUUCAGGAGGACGCAGGGGCCCUGGAGGAGCAGGGGCAGGAGAGGCUCCCCCGUCGGAGGUCCACGAGGGCCGGAGCUGUGCUGAGAAUCUACGCGGGAAGCAAACACCGCUCCAUGGUGGAGCCCGAGGAGGG